CCUACGGGAGGCAGCAGUGAGGAAUAUUGGUCAAUGGGCGAGAGCCUGAACCAGCCAAGUCGCGUGAAGGAUGACGGUCCUACGGGUUGUAAACUUCUUUUGUCAGGGAGCAAUUGAGUCCACGUGUGGGCUUAGCGAGAGUACCUGAAGAAAAAGCAUCGGAUAACUCCGUGCCAGCAGCCGCGGUAAUACGGAGGAUGCGAGCGUUAUCCGGAUUUAUUGGGUUUAAGGGGUGCGUAGGCGGAAUAUCAAGUCAGCGGUAAAACUUCGGGGCUCAACCCCGUCGUGCCGUUGAAACUAAUGAUCUUGAGUGGGCGAGAAGUAUGCGGAAUGCGAGGUGUAGCGGUGAAAUGCAUAGAUAUCACGCAGAACUCCGAUUGCGAAGGCAGCAUACCGGCGCCCAACUGACGCUGAAGCACGAAAGCGUGGGUAUCGAACAGGAUUAGAUACCCCUGUAGUC
rnacentral:rRNA from 1 species